GACGAACGCUGGCGGCGUGCUUAACACAUGCAAGUCGAACGGAAAGGCCCCUUCGGGGGUACUCGAGUGGCGAACGGGUGAGUAACACGUGAGUAACCUUCCCUUGACUUCGGGAUAACUUCAGGAAACUGGGGCUAAUACCGGAUAGGAAUCCUUGCUGCAUGGUGGGGGUUGGAAAGCUUCGGCGGGUUUGGAUGGACUCGCGGCUUAUCAGCUUGUUGGUGGGGUAGUGGCUUACCAAGGCGUUGACGGGUAGCCGGCCUGAGAGGGCGACCGGCCACAUUGGGACUGAGGUAAGGCCCAGACACCGAAGGGAGGGAGCAGUGGGGAAGAUUGCACAAUGGGCGCAAGGCUGAUGCAGAAACGCCGCGGGCGGGAUGACGGUCUUAGGGUUGUAAAACGCAUUCAGCAGGGGCGAAGCUUGUGGUGACGGUACCUGCAGAAGAAGCACCGGCUAACUACGUG
rnacentral:rRNA from 1 species